rnacentral:rRNA from 1 species
AUUGAACGCUGGCGGCAGGCCUAACACAUGCAAGUCGAGCGAGUGGCGGACGGGUGAGUAAUGUCUGGGAAUCUGCCCGAUAGAGGGGGAUAACUACUGGAAACGGUGGCUAAUACCGCAUACUAUCGGAUGAACCCAGAUGGGAUUAGCUAGUAGGUGGGGUAAAGGCUCACCUAGGCGACGAUCCCUAGCUGGUCUGAGAGGAUUAACAGCCACACUGGAACUGAGACACGGCCCAGACUCCUACGGGAGGCAGCAGUGGGGAAUAUUGCACAAUGGGCGCAAGCCUGAUGUAGCCAUGCCGCGUGUAUGAAGAAGGCCUUCGGGUUGUAAAGUACUUUCAGCGGGGAGGCGUUACCCGCAGAAGAAGCACCGGCUAACUCCGUGCCAGCCGCCGCGGUAAUUC